CAGGACGAACGCUGGCGGCGUGCCUAACACAUGCAAGUCGAGCGAGGAGAUUCCUCGGGAUGAUCCUAGCGGCGGACGGGUGAGUAACACGUGGGCAACCUGCCUCAUAGAGAGGAAUAGCCUUCCGAAAGGGAGAUUAAUACCUCAUAACAUUGCAGUUUCGCAUGGAACAGCAAUUAAAGGAGUAAUCCGCUAUGAGAUGGGCCCGCGGCGCAUUAGCUAGUUGGUGAGGUAACGGCUCACCAAGGCGACGAUGCGUAGCCGACCUGAGAGGGUGAUCGGCCACAUUGGGACUGAGACACGGCCCAGACUCCUACGGGAGGCAGCAGUGGGGAAUAUUGCACAAUGGGGGAAACCCUGAUGCAAGCAACGCCGCGUGAGUGAUGACGGCCUUCGGGUUGUAAAGCUCUGUCUUCAGGGACGAUAAUGACGGUACCUGAGGAGGAAGCCACGGCUAACUACGUGCCAGCAGCGGC
rnacentral:rRNA from 1 species